rnacentral:rRNA from 1 species
AGAGUUUGAUCAUGGCUCAGGACGAACGCUGGCGGCGCGCUUAACACAUGCAAGUCGAGCGAUAACCAUGGCUUCGGCCAUGGGGAGAGCGGCGAACGGGUGAGUAACACGUGAGUGAUCUGCCCUUGACACCGGGAUAGCCCGGGGAAACCCGGAUUAAUACCGGAUGGCCUGUCGAGCCUACGGGCUCGUUAGAAAAGAUGGCUUCGGCUUUCGGUCGAGGAGGAACUUGCGGCGGAUUAGCUUGUUGGUGAGGUAACGGCUCACCAAGGCGACGAUCCGUAGCUGGUCUGAGAGGACGAUCAGCCACACUGGGACUGAGACACGGCCCAGACUCCUACGGGAGGCAGCAGUGGGGAAUCUUGCGCAAUGGGCGAAAGCCUGACGCAGCGACGCCGCGUGAGGGAAGAAGGCCUUCGGGUUGUAAACCUCUUUCAGGAGGGACGAAGCUACUCGGGCUAAUACCCCAGAGGGUGACGGUACCUCCAGAAGAAGCCCGGCUAACUACGUGCCAGCAGCCGCGGUA